rnacentral:rRNA from 1 species
UACGUAGGGGGCAAGCGUUGUCCGGAAUCAUUGGGCGUAAAGAGCGUGUAGGUGGCUCGGUAAGUCCGCUGUGAAAGUCCAGGGCUCAACCCUGGAAUGCCGGUGGAAACUGUCGAGCUAGAGUCCGGAAGAGGCGAGUGGAAUUCCUGGUGUAGCGGUGAAAUGCGCAGAUAUCAGGAGGAACACCAAUGGCGAAGGCAGCUCGCUGGGACGGUACUGACACUGAGACGCGAAAGCGUGGGGAG